CACCUCUCCGGUGGCCUAGUGGUUAGAGCGUCCGCCUCGGAUGCGGGAGGUCGUGGGUUCGAUCCCCGGUCGAGUGA